CCUACGGUGGGCUGCAGUGAGGAAUAUUGGUCAAUGGACGGAAGUCUGAACCAGCCAUGCCGCGUGCAGGAAGACGGCUCUAUGAGUUGUCAACUGCUUUUGUACAAGGGUAAACCUGAAUACGUGUAUUCAGCUGAAAGUACUUUACGAAUAAGGAUCGGCUAACUCCGUGCCAGCAGCCGCGGUACUACGGAGGAUCCAAGCGUUAUCCGGAUUUAUUGGGUUUAAAGGGUGCGUAGGCGGAUUGAUAAGUUAGAGGUGAAAUGUCCGGGCUUAACUCGGGAACUGCCUCGAAUACUGUUGAUCGAGAGAGUAGAUGCGGUAGGCGGAAUGUAUGGUGUAGCGUUGAAAGGCUUAGAGAUCAUACAGAACACCGAUUGCGAAGGCAGCUUACCAAUCUAUAUCUGACGUUGAGGCACGAAAGCGUGGGGAGCAAACAGGAUUAGAUACCCCAGUAGUC
rnacentral:rRNA from 1 species